GACGAACGCUGGCGGCGUGCUUAACACAUGCAAGUCGUACGGUAAGGCCCUUUCGGGGGUCCACGAGUGGCGAACGGGUGAGUAACACGUGAGUAACCUGCCCACAACUUUGGGAUAACGCUAGGAAACUGGUGCUAAUACUGGAUAUGUGCUCCUGCUGCAUGGUGGGGGUUGGAAAGCUCCGGCGGUUGUGGAUGGACUCGCGGCCUAUCAGCUUGUUGGUGGGGUAGUGGCCUACCAAGGCGGCGACGGGUAGCCGGCCUGAGAGGGUGACCGGCCACAUUGAGACUGAGAUACGGCCCAGACUCCUACGGGAGGCAGCAGUGGGGAAUAUUGCACAAUGGGCGCAAGCCUGAUGCAGCAACGCCGCGUGCGGGAUGACGGCCUUCGGGUUGUAAACCGCUUUCAGCAGGGACGAAGCGUUUUGUGACGGUACCUGCAGAAGAAGCACCGGCUAACUACGUG
rnacentral:rRNA from 1 species